rnacentral:rRNA from 1 species
UACGUAGGGUGCAAGCGUUGUCCGGAAUUAUUGGGCGUAAAGGGCUCGUAGGCGGUUUGUCGCGUCGGGAGUGAAAACCUCGGGCUUAACUCGGGGCUUGCUUUCGAUACGGGCAGACUAGAGGUAUGCAGGGGAGAACGGAAUUCCUGGUGUAGCGGUGAAAUGCGCAGAUAUCAGGAGGAACACCGGUGGCGAAGGCGGGUCUCUGGGCCGAUACUGACGCUGAGGAGCGAAAGCGUGGGGAGCGAACAGG